CCUACGGGUGGCAGCAGUAGGGAAUAUUGCUCAAUGGGGGAAACCCUGAAGCAGCAACGCCGCGUGGAGGAUGAAGGUUUUCGGAUUGUAAACUCCUUUUGUUAGAGAAAAUAAUGACGGUAUCUAACGAAUAAGCACCGGCUAACUCAGUGCCAGCAGCCGCGGUAAUACGGAGGGUGCAAGCGUUACUCGGAUUAACUGGGCGUAAAGAUCGCGUAGACGGGAUAGCAAGUCAGAUGUGAAAGCCUAUGGCUUAACCAUAGAACUGCAUUUGAAACUGGUAGUCUAGAGUAUGGUAGAGGUAGGUGGAAUUCGUGGUGUAGGGGUAAAAUCCGUAGAGAUCAAGAGGAAUACUCAUUGCGAAGGCAACCUGCUAGAACAUAACUGACGCUGAUGCGCGAAAGCGUGGGGAGCAAACAGGAUUAGAUACCCCGGUAGUC
rnacentral:rRNA from 1 species